GUAGAAAAAUGACGUAAUGGUUGCAUAACUGUGUCUUUCAAGAAUGUACCAAAAAUUCAUUCUGAUUAUGAAUAUACUGUGAAUGUAGCCGAUGUUAAGCUCUGGUUAGACAAGCACUUUAGGCAUUUUGGAUUAUUCUAUAACUGGGACUAGGAUUUAGGAAUUUCGUUGGAAAUUAACAACCGAUUUGGGAUUUGAUUUGUGUACAGAUUCAGCUCGGCACGGACAUUGUUUAUUGUUCAGUUAUCGUAAGUUAGUACUUUGUUAUUAUUAUAAUUUUCUUUCAAUGAUUGUAAAUAAAUGCUAGUACUUGUUUGACUGUCUUUGUUAGUAAAUUCUACUGCUCGGUAAUUCUGAUCCAUGACAAUAUGAAUUUACUUUUAUAACAUGUUUAAGAUAUCUUAUAAAACGUAUUUGAUAUCCUGUAUGUUUUAUAAGAUAUAUCAUAAAGUCGAUGAGAUAUUCUAUAAAAAAUCGUGUAUGAGAUAUCUUCUUUAAAAAACUAUCUUAUAAACGUCGAUUUAUAAGAUAUAUAUCUUUUAUGAUAUAUCUCAUAAACUUUAUAAGAUAACUUGUUUAAUAUACAAGAAAAGUGGUUGUUAUAUUAGCGUUUACAUAAUCUUUAUGUUAUCAAUAAAUCAAUUAUUAAGUAUUUCUCAUGUCUUAUAAUGAAUAUGAAAUUUACUCUACGUUUCUUGUUUUGGUCACUAUAUCACGAACAAGCCUUAGGGUUAUUGUGAAGGAAAAAAAUACUUCAUCCAAUAUUAGAUUUUAAUCUCUUCAACUUGGGUGCUAGGUCUUUUGUUUGGUCUCUCCAAAUCAAUUUCAUCAGAGUUUCUGUUGAAGAGUAAACAAUAUGUCAAUUCUCUUAUUCCAUCAAAAUUUGACAAAGUCUAAUUGAAAUCAAAUCCUAUGAUCUACUUAUUUAUUCUUGAGCGGAUCAGAAAGAUCUAAUCUUAAUUAGAUUGUGUGAAAUGAAACAUAUUGCUGAACUUCACGCAUUCUCUUGGCUUGUAUGUUGUGGAUCACUUCGGACGGAAAUCAUUGGGAAAUGUGGACAGCCGAAGUUCCCUGGGGAUAGAAACGUGCUGAAACAUGGCGUUUCCGUGCGGAAACCAUACAUAAACUGGCAUACCUAAUUAAAGGAAUCAUUAAACUUUGAAGGCAUAUUGAACACAUUACUAAACGGCUAUGCAGAGAUGACCUAGGUACCAGGGGCGGAUCCAAGAAUUGUAGUUAGGGGGAUGCAACUUUCUGAGGCAUGGUAUUUGAUGCGAAGUCCUGGUGGGUGCCCAGGGGGUGAAGCCCCCGGAAGCUCCUGGAUUUUACAGAUUUUAUAGGGCUUCAAAUAUGUCUCCUAUGCAGUAAUUUUUACUAUUUUCCGUCAUUUUUGAUAGAGGGAAAUCAAUCAAAUGACGCAAAUUUCAAGGGUUUUUGGUUUUAAAAAAAAAGUAACUUUUCCCCAAUAAAAGUAAUUCAAUAAAUCUAAAGAUUUUGUCAUUCAUUGCUCUGAGAGUGGAAGAAAUUAUUCUUUUUAUCGUUUAUAUUUUUCUAAACAAGAGACCACGAUUUACCUUAGAUUUGAAAAUUGUAGGGGCGCCCCUUAAAUUCGCCACUGGGUACACUUGAACUCUGUCAGUCCGUUGGUUUUAUUUUUCACCGAGUACUCGAAUAUCGCUCGACUAAAGCCUCCAAGUAUUUGAAAAGCUUAUCCGAGUAAAAUUGACAUCCCUAAUAUGUACUAUAUGUAUAUGCAGCAUGUAUUUUAUGUAUGAAUAUAUGAAUGUAUUAAUUUCUGUAGUAUGGAUAGUGGGAUAUUUUCUUCGAAUGUUAAGUUACCUAAUCACUGUGUAUGAGA